GACGAACGCUGGCGGCGCGCCUAACACAUGCAAGUCGAACGGAGCUGCGAGAAGCUUGCUUUUCUUAGCUUAGUGGCGAACGGGUGAGUAACGCGUGAGUAACCUGCCCUGGAGUGUGGGACAACAGAUGGAAACGACUGCUAAUACCGCAUAAGCCCACGAUCCGGCAUGGGCUUGAGGGAAAAGGAUUUAUUCGCUUCAGGAUGGACUCGCGUCCAAUUAGCUAGUUGGUGAGGUCAAGGCCCACCAAGGCGACGAUUGGUAGCCGGACUGAGAGGUUGGGCGGACACAUUGAGGCUAAGACGCAGUCCAGACUACUACGGGAGGCAGGAGUGGGGGAUAUUGCACAAUGGGGGGAACCCUGAUGGUGCGACGCCGCGUGGAGGAAGAAGGUUUUCGGAUUGGAAACUCCUGUCGUUAGGGACGAUAAUGACGGUACCUAAAAAGAAAGCACCGGCUAACUACGUG
rnacentral:rRNA from 1 species